UACGUAGGGCGCAAGCGUUGUCCGGAAUUAUUGGGCGUAAAGAGCUCGUAGGCGGUCUGUCGCGUCUGCUGUGAAAAACUCGGGGCUUAACCCCCGGGCCUGCAGUGGGGUACGGGCAGACUAGAGUGCGGUAGGGGGAGACUGGAAUUCCUGGUGUAGCGGUGAAAUGCGCAGAUAUCAGGAGGAACACCGGUGGCGAAGGCGGGGUCUCUGGGGCCGUAACUGACGCUGAGGAGCGAAAAGCGUGGGGGAGCAAAACAGG
rnacentral:rRNA from 1 species